ACAAUGGAGAGUUUGAUCCUGGCUCAGGAUUAACGCUAGCGGCAGGCCUAAUACAUGCAAGUCGAACGGGAUUUCGGGUAGCAAUAUCUGAAUGAGAGUGGCGCACGGGUGCGUAACGCGUAUGCAAUCUACCUUUAACUGGGGAAUAGCCCUCCGAAAGGAGGAUUAACACCGCAUAAUACUAUGAUGGGGCAUCUCAAUGUAGUCAAAACUCAGGUGGUUAAAGAUGAGCAUGCGUCCGAUUAGCUAGUUGGUGAGGUAAUGGCUCACCAAGGCGACGAUCGGUAGGGGGUCUGAGAGGAUGAUCCCCCACACUGGUACUGAGACACGGACCAGACUCCUACGGGAGGCAGCAGUAAGGAAUAUUGGACAAUGGGCGCAAGCCUGAUCCAGCUAUGCCGCGUGAAGGAUGACGGCCCUAUGGGUUGUAAACUUCUUUUAGCAGGGAAAAAACCCCCCGAUGCGUUGGGGGCUGAUGGUACCUGCAGAAUAAGGAUCGGCUAACUCCGUGCCAGCAGCCGCGGUAAUACGGAGGAUCCAAGCGUUAUCCGGAUUUAUUGGGUUUAAAGGGUGCGUAGGCGGAUAAAUAAGUCAGUGGUGAAAGCCUGCAGCUUAACUGUAGAAUUGCCAUUGAUACUGUUUAUCUUGAAUGUAGUUGAGGUGGGCGGAAUAUGACAUGUAGUGGUGAAAUACUUAGAUAUGUCAUAGAACACCGAUUGCGAAGGCAGCUCACUAAGCUAUAAUUGACGCUGAGGCACGAAAGCGUGGGGAGCAAACAGGAUUAGAUACCCUGGUAGUCCACGCCCUAAACUAUGAUCACUCGCUGUUGGCGAUACACAGUCAGCGGCUAAGCAAAAGCAUUAAGUGAUCCACCUGGGGAGUACGGCCGCAAGGCUGAAACUCAAAGGAAUUGACGGGGGCCCGCACAAGCGGAGGAGCAUGUGGUUUAAUUCGAUGAUACGCGAGGAACCUUACCUGGGCUUGAAAGUUAGUGAAUCUCGCAGAAACGCGAGAGACCGAAAGGACACGAAACUAGGUGCUGCAUGGCUGUCGUCAGCUCGUGCCGUGAGGUGUUGGGUUAAGUCCCGCAACGAGCGCAACCCCUAUCAUUAGUUGCCAUCAGGUUAUGCUGGGGACUCUAAUGAGACUGCCUGCGCAAGCAGUGAGGAAGGUGGGGACGACGUCAAGUCAUCACGGCCCUUACGUCCAGGGCUACACACGUGCUACAAUGGAUGAGACAACGGGCUGCUACACAGUAAUGUGAUGCUAAUCUCUAAACUCAUUCUCAGUUCGGAUUGAGGUCUGCAACUCGACCUCAUGAAGCUGGAUUCGCUAGUAAUCGCGUAUCAGCAAUGACGCGGUGAAUACGUUCCCGGGCCUUGUACACACCGCCCGUCAAGCCAUGGGAGUUGGGGGUACCUGAAGUCGAUAACCGUAAGGAGUCGCCUAGGGUAAAACCGAUGACUAGGGCUAAGUCGUAACAAGGUAGCCGUACCGGAAGGUGCGGCUGGAAUACCUCCUUU
rnacentral:rRNA from 1 species